GCCAAGAUUGACAGCUUCUUUACAAUUCUAGGUUAACUUUCGGUCACCUGGUCAAUGAUUACAUUUAAUAAAUGCACAAUAGGAAUAACAUCUAUGGCAAAUCACGGAGGGGAUGAAAAAUCUGUCGGUGGGUUCGAACAAUACAUGAAAGAAACUGCUCGAAGUUUCAAGGAAUGCCGGGUAAAAAAUUCGCUGCGUCGAAAUUCCCUGCAAAAGAAAACUUUAGGAAUUGAAAAACAACGGAAAAUUUCCUCUUUGUUGCUUGACAAAGAGGAAAGAGAGCUGAGAGAAAAAUAUCGCCAACUGCAAGUCGAUCAAAAGGUUUCCUCCUUUACUCAUUCCACAGAAACCGACGAUAAAGAAGGCGGGGGAGAAAGUGAAGGAUUAAUGAGUGAAGCGGUGUUGAAAGGAGACCAGUAUUGGGACUCUGUUGUUCUCAACCCAUAUCCUAUCACAUUCAGACCAUCGACAUCGACUGAGAAAAAAAUGCGUGGCCCACACACUGAAACAGACGGUAAGGAAAGAAUACACAGUGAAUUAACGAACAGAAAAAAAGAACUGUAGUAACUCGCAGGUACACCAUUUCAUUAUCGCAGACGACAAUCGAUUGAAUUUGAAGAUUUAAUCCUUAAUACGAACACAGGUGGCUUAAAGCUUCCACCCAAGAACAAGAAGAAUUCUUUCUUACAAGUGCAUGUCGACAAAAAGUUAAGUAGACCAGUUAAGCCACAUCCAGAUGCCUUGGAAGAUAACUUCAGUAUGCGGAAACUAAAAAGGAAUAUAGACUUACAACAAAAGAUGUCUUUUGUGGGUGCAAACUAGCUAAGAAUAUAGAACUGUAGAUACGUACACUGGAUGAUAUAGAACUGUAGAUGCAUUAAAAUAAUGUUUUAAAUGUUCAGCUAUUAAACUGCACAUAAAUGCCAACAAUAUAAAUUCGUCAUAAUCAAUGUAUACUUAAAUACACAUGUACAUAAACGUUUCAGUGACUUUAUGUCUACUUAAGAGAUUAGGUCAAGGAAACUCGAAUCGGUCACUACUUAUGUAAUAAGGAAAAAAAUGAUUAAUAAUAUUUGUGCAGUGAAAAGAAAAAAAUAUUAGACCACUGAUUAAAAUUAAUUUAAUCUGAUCUUAGCAGUUACAGCCGAUAUCUCUGGACAUAUUUUAUCGCAGUGACUCGUUUACCAGAUAUGAGGAAAGCACAAGAAAGGCUAUGCUUCACCGAGGAGGUCUAAUAAAAUAGAAACUUACUUGGAAUUAUCUUUUCAUACUUGCCAAUAUCAGAUUGUCAUUGAACUAAACAUUUUUCUUCUCACUGAAUAAGUAUUAAUAAUUAAUUAGAUGAUAUCUUAAUAACUAAUAAUUAAUCAGUUAUUAUAUAAUUAGGUUCCUGAUGGUCAUUUUUUUAUAUAGAUAGUCCUUCUAGUGAUGUUCUUAUCCAAAAUAUGACAAAUAACAGAAGAGUAUGCUUCGCUAACGAAGUACGAUAAUAAGGAAACAUAUGACCCAUGUUUAUAAAGAUCAGAUUAAAAUAGUAUUAAUGAGAAGGAUAAUGAUCUCUUCUCUUUAUUGCUUUAAUAUAAGUAAUUAGAUCUUACCCUCAUUACAUUAAGUAUUGACGGUGGUUGACAAGCUUGAUUAUAUUUCGUAAGUGUGGCGUCCUAGAGAAACUUCCUUCAGUCACUUUGUACAUAAAUCUAUUUAGGAAUACAAGCACGUUUUCUAUUGUUUUAAUCUUCUGUAUUUUCUUGUAUUUUAUCAGUUUUAUUGUAUUAUUAUAACUGUAAUAUUUUUUCUGUAUUUUUAUGUUUGUCUGGUUUGUUUUGCACUCCCACAACAAAACACUGGAUCAAUUGUUAAAAAACGGAUUAGUGAAAAGCAUACGAGGGGUGCUGAGAAGUUCCUGGCUUUAAGGGUAUCGCCAAAGACCUGAUUGAAGUUCAGAGUUCAUUUACAGGGUUUAGAAAUACUGAAGGACUGCUGCCAUAAAUGUGUGAAUGUGAGAGGGGGAUAUGUUGAAUAAAAUCAUAAUUAACUGAUCCUCCUGUAUUUUCUUUCCCCAAAGCCAGGAGCUUUUCAGCUUUUCAGGAGCUUUUCAGUACAAGUAACGUGGUGACAAGCGAUUUAACAAAGUCGUUAGGAUGUCGCGCUGCGAGAUAUUUGUUCCAUUUCUCUUCGCUCGGAGUUCAAAUCCCACCGGCAUCAAUUUUGACUUUCAUCAUUUUGUAAUCGGUAAAAAAAAAAUUGGCGGAACUGUGGGAACGUCGGACUGUCAGGUAUUUUUCUGGCUCUUUGCGAUCCUGAGUUCAAAUCUCGCCAUGGUUUAUUUGAGUGGUAGAUUUCACACCACCAUCUGCAUCUGGGUACCUUAGCGAAGUCCACGCUAUUACAAGAAUUCGGGUUAGGUUUCCUGUUUGAGAAUACUGUUGUUCGUUUCACCUGUUUUGGAAGAUUCCAUAAUAGGUCAUGGGCACUGCCUUCCAUUCUAACCGAAAGAUAUAGUUUUAAAAUGCAUGCAUGCAGGCAUGGGUGUCUAGUAAGAAGCUUGCUUCCCAACCACAUGAUCCCGGGUUCAGUCUCACUGCGUGGCACCUUGGGCAAGUGUCUUCUAUUAUAGUCCGGGCCAAUCAAAGCCUUGUAAGUGGAUUUGCUAGGCAAAAACUGAAAGAAGCCUGUCGUGUAUAUAUAUUUUGACGUAUGUGUCCUUGUAUUUAGUUUGUGCUGUCACAAUCUUGGCGGGCCCACAAUCGGAUCGUUUCUUCCUUGGCGAAGGAUUCUUCAGGAAUCGUCUAACCGUGUCCACAUGACGACCUAAUAUCUCCACAAUGACAUGAAGAGAGGUGCUUUUAGCAUUUUCCUUGAUGAUGACAGACUCUUCUUCAUCGUUAAAGCCUUUUCCACGUCCCAUUUUUCUUAGACAGGAGAGACACUAUUAGCGUGGUUCAUCCAAAAACUGAAGAAUCUGAAAAAAAAUUUUAAAAAAGAUGUAACACAGAAUAAUGAAAACAUAACAAUGAUAUUGCUAUAGUGUGCAAACUAGCUGGGAAAAGCUUUAUCAAAAUCGUCGAUUCACACAAAACCGAGAAAUCCUAAAUUUCACUCCUAAGCUAUUAGCGUGGUUCUGGGUAUAUAUAUAUAUAUGUGUGUGUGUGUGUGUGUGUGUGUGUGUGUGUGUGUGUGUGUGUAUAUAAGGGUAAAAAUAUCAAAAAUGUUUUCUGCUUUUCUCAUCAUGUGUAUAUGUGAGCGUGUGUGUAUUUGUGUGUAUGUAUGUGUGUAUGCAUUUGCAUGCGUGUUGGGGAUAUAAUGAUAGAUUAGUGAGAAAUGCAAGUAAAAGCUUAAAGAAUGAUUGAAGGAGAAAGGAAAGGUGAGCUGAUGAGAAAAUCCGAUGUUUCUGUACCUAACACUAACACUUCUACAAAAUUAUCCCCACAUUACAACUUACAGUAUCUCUGCAUCUCCUUUCAUGAUUCAUUUUGCUUUACUCCCAAGACGAACACGGACUAAAAAUUUAGUUUAUUUAUGCACAACGUUCUGGGUUGCAUCUACAUCUUGCUGCGAAAUUUCAAAAUAAUACGUUGAGAAAUGUCAUCGUUACUUCAAGAUAGGGAACCAUCGAUGCUCUAGCGCGCGCAUGUGAGUGUGCGUAUGUUUAAGUAUCUAUGUAUGUUUUUAGACAUGGAUAUGCAUGUAUGUACGUACGUAUGUAUGUAUCUCUC